CAAGAAGUCUCAGGGCUAUAUGCCCUGAAACCUUCCACCCUUUGUUUAUUGAACUUAUCUUGUUGUUGCCUCGGCGGGGGUUGUUGCGCAUCUUUUUGCGUAUCCUCCCCCCGCCGGCGUACAGCUCUAUAAACUUUUGAUGUAAACUAUAUAGUCAGAGCCAUUUUGGCAUUUUGAUAAAUAAAUCA
rnacentral:misc_RNA from 1 species